UACGGAGGGUGCAAGCGUUAAUCGGAAUUACUGGGCGUAAAGCGUGUGUAGGCGGUUUAUUAAGUCGGAUGUGAAAGCCCUGGGCUUAACCUGGGAAUGGCAUUCGAUACUGGUAAACUUGAAUUUGGUAGAGGAAAGUGGAAUUCCGGGUGUAGCGGUGAAAUGCGUAGAUAUCCGGAGGAACAUCAGUGGCGAAGGCGGCUUUCUGGACCAAAAUUGACGCUGAGGCACGAAAGCGUGGGUAGCAAACAGG
rnacentral:rRNA from 1 species